UCAUGUUGUUCCACUGCGGCCGCUGCGGCUUCCUCCUACCUGUGAGGCCCUUCACGUCCGCUCGGUGCCGAGUCGCGCUCGCUUUCUGGCGUUGCGUCCCCGCCGCCGCUCAGGCCUGCGGACUCGGCAGGAGACCCGACUCGGCGCCCCAGCACGGCGGUGGUCCCGACUCCGGACCGCCGCAUCUUCCCGCCGCCUUGGGGUCCGCAGAAAAACAUUCAAGAUCAUAAAUUUAGACCAAGAUGGACAUCCGGGGCGCCGUGGAUGCAGCCGUUCCAACCAACAUCAUUGCUGCCAAGGCUGCAGAAGUUCGUGCCAACAAAGUGAACUGGCAGUCCUACCUUCAGGGGCAGAUGAUUUCUUCCGAAGACUGCGAAUUCAUUAAAAGAUUUGAGAAGAAAAGAAGUCCUGAGGAGAAGCAGGAGGUGCUUCAGACUGAAGGCAGUCAGUGUGCUAAGACAUUUAUAAAUCUGAUGACUCACAUCUCCAAAGAGCAGACAGUUCAGUACAUACUCACCAUGGUUGAUGACACGCUGCAGGAAAAUCACCAGCGCGUUAGCAUUUUCUUUGACUAUGCUAAACGUAGCAAGAACACUGCCUGGUCCUACUUUCUGCCCAUGUUGAAUCGCCAGGAUCUCUUUACUGUUCAUAUGGCAGCAAGAAUUAUUGCCAAGUUAGCAGCUUGGGGAAAAGAAUUGAUGGAAGGCAGUGACUUAAAUUACUAUUUCAAUUGGAUAAAGACUCAACUGAGUUCACAGAAACUGCGUGGUAGCGGUGUCGCUGUUGAAACAGGAACAGUCUCUUCAAGCGAUAGCUCUCAGUACGUGCAGUGCGUGGCCGGGUGUCUGCAGCUGAUGCUCCGAGUCAGCGAGUACCGCUUUGCCUGGGUGGAAGCAGACGGGGUGAACUGCAUCAUGGGAGUUCUGAGUAACAAGUGUGGCUUUCAGCUCCAGUAUCAGAUGAUUUUUUCUAUAUGGCUCCUGGCGUUCAGUCCUCAGAUGUGUGAACACCUGCGACGCUACAACAUCAUUCCUGUUCUGUCCGACAUCCUGCAAGAAUCGGUCAAAGAGAAAGUGACAAGAAUCAUUCUUGCAGCAUUCCGGAACUUCUUAGAAAAAUCAACUGAAAGAGAAACUCGCCAAGAGUAUGCUCUGGCUAUGAUUCAGUGCAAAGUUCUGAAACAGUUGGAGAACUUGGAACAGCAGAAGUAUGAUGACGAAGAUAUCAGUGAAGAUAUAAAAUUUCUCUUGGAGAAACUUGGUGAGAGUGUCCAGGAUCUUAGCUCAUUUGAUGAAUAUAGUUCAGAACUUAAAUCUGGAAGAUUGGAAUGGAGUCCUGUGCACAAAUCUGAGAAAUUUUGGAGAGAAAAUGCUGUGAGAUUAAAUGAGAAGAAUUAUGAGCUCUUGAAGAUUUUGACCAAACUUCUGGAGGUGUCCGAUGACCCACAAGUCUUAGCUGUUGCUGCCCAUGACGUCGGCGAGUACGUUCGGCAUUACCCGCGAGGCAAGCGGGUCAUCGAGCAGCUCGGCGGGAAGCAGCUGGUGAUGAACCACAUGCACCACGAGGACCAGCAGGUGCGCUACAACGCCCUCCUGGCCGUGCAGAAGCUCAUGGUGCACAACUGGGCAGACGUGGAUCUGGGGAGACCAGGAGAGCAGGAAACGUGGAUAUGAUGUGAAGGGGGACCCGUCAGCAAAUGAGAAAAAGAGUGAAGCUGUCUCUUACAUUAAAUCUGGGAUCAUUCAUCCUCCAAUACCUGUCAUGUCCUGUUUCAAAGACCUUCCCACAUGAAGAUUUAUCACUCUUCUAGAAGCCGUACGGAGUGUUCCAAGUGAUUGCACGGUAACAGUGUGAGGGACAUGCCUAUUUACUCAGGUAUGCAAGGUAUGCCCUCUGAAAUGCAGGGUUUGUUUCUAAUCAUUUCUCUUUUUCUCUCCCUUUUCUGUACUUUCACACCCAGAACCUCCCAAUUUAAAAGGACAUUGGGUGAGCUGCCCAUUAUUUAAAUCAUCCUCUCCACGGCAAAGCCCUUGAGUGAUUUGGGGUUGGGAGGAGAUAAGACAGAGUCCAUCAAUUUCUUAUUUGCACAUAGUGUCUUGACACAUUAAUAAACCAACCCAGAAUGACCAAUCAUAAUUUUUUCAUGUUAUAAAGUAUAUAUCUCAUGGCUGUAGUCAUUAAUGCCAAAUGAAAUGAGGGCUAAAUGGGGAUUUUAGCCGUAAUCCCAUUGUAGAGUUCCUCAGGGAUAUACAUUAUACUUUAAUAAACCAGUAACUUAUGAGAAUUUGUCAUUGUAGUCAAUUCUGGUGUAGUAUUAUUGCUUUAGAGAAAAUCCAGUUCUAAAAAUCUUAUUUCCCAUUCACACAUCGGCAAAUAUGUUUAGACUUAUUGCUUUUAUUCUCAGAUUUGGUUAUCACAUUUUAAUUAUUACCUUUAUUAGCCCUCUCCCUAAAAACGUGUGCUUUAUACGUAUCUCGGUAUCUCUCUCCUUGAACUCUUCAGCCCUUGGGAGUGACCUUCCUCUUUAAUAUCUAAACAAAAUAAUUGAGCCUUAUCUAACAUGACUGCAGCAAGUUCCGUCCUGAAGUCCUAAAGUGUGUCUCUGAAGGUUCUGGGUUAUGGUUAUGUUUUCUCCUGGUUGUUACUUAUUCCCUUUUACUGCAAGUGACUUCUAGCUGUUUGCCUUCCAUCUCUGGCCACGCGUGAUGUCGCUGUCUCUGUGAAUCCCUCAAUCUGUUUUAUCCACGCCCCAAAUGCUGAACUGGUCGCAUCCCCUUAGUCCACAAAACAGAGCAGGGGAGUGUAAGGCUGGUGCGAAGGCUGGGAGGUGACAGAGCUCAGUUAUAACCUGGAACAGGAGAUGGUUUAUACCUCACAACCCUUCCCCACCGACUCCCCCUUCCCUCGAACGCCUCCUCGGGGGUGGCAGGGGUGGGUGACAAGUCUCCUAACCAUGCCAUCUCCCCACAGACCACCAGGACCCCAGACUCCCUGAUUACAGGCCUGUCAGUGGAAACCCAAAAUCUCUCACCUCAUAGCCAUCCCUCCAGAGAUGCAGUCCACCACCACAGAGGUGAUUGGAUAAAUGCACUGUGGUACAGCCACCCCGCGGAAUACUACCCCGACGAGGAAAAGGAGCAAAGUACCGAUGCACUCAGCAACCUGGAGGAACCUCCAGGGAAUUACGCCUGCUGGCAAAUACAGAGAACGUGGGAGAAGACCAUGCCGUGAUCAUGCUAGUUUUAGAGAUGGUGAGUAUUCUCAGCAAGUUCUGGAACAGUUACGAUGCCAGGUGAGUGCACGUUAAAUCCAGAAAUUGGCAAGCAGGCACAUGGCCGUCUCACCGGACUUCUUGUCACAGCAAGUGUCACUUCUUGUCUCUGAACCCGACCGUUGCUACUGACAGUGGAGAGAAUCAAGUGUCAAACAGCCUGGCUUCGCGGCCUGGGGCAGGACCGGUUCCGCAGGGUCUGGGGUGUAGAAUAGGAAACAGGCCUCCUUGGAGAAAGGUAUGAGCCUCAGGUGUCUUCUCACAUAGAUUCCCUGGUUGUAUGUUGUGUUUUAAUUUUAUUUUCCAAAUUGAUGACAAGUUCUUUCUAUCCCCCCAAAUUUCAUUCCCUCCAAAUACCUAUAGCAAACGCACCAGAUGCCACUGGUUCAUUUAUUUGAUUAAUAAAUACGUGUUGAAUGCUCUCUGCGCUGCGUAAGCAAAAUAAACCUUUUGCUCAGUGGAUACCCGGACUUGACACCAGGCGAGGAAACUGCUGGAUGGUCAGGGAACUUUGGGACCAUGGACAGAUUCCCUGACAUCUAAGGCUGCUUUGGGCGCUGAGCCUGCGUGGAUGUACGUUCUGUGUCUUUAUCUGGAACUCUAGAAUUAAUGGCUCAGACCAAUUUUUAACCCCCUCAGGAGCAUCUGGGGCAUUUUCCUGAUGGCUGACUCUUCCGGGAACGGGGUAAGAUAAAAUCACAGCAGCCCACGACAAACUGUUCCCACUUCUUCUCAGUGGUGCUCAGAGCCCCCUCCUUCCUGGCUGUCCCCCUGACAGGCCCACCAAGCUUCAGCUAACCCGCCUUGAGCAUCUUCUAUGUCCCAGACUCUGUUCCAACCACCUUCCACGUAUCACAGUAUUUAACGGACAGCGACCCAGUGAGAUAGGAAUGUUAAGAUUCCCGUUUCAUGGAUGGGGACGCGGAGGCACACAGCUACAUAACCUCCCCAAUGUCUGUAGCUGGUAAGGGACAAAGUGCGGACGCCUGGUUCCCUGGUGCCAUCUGAGCCCGAGCAGGGUCACUGCAAUUGUCUCGUCUUCGCGGUCAGUGGCCUGAGGGGCUUCUUGCUUGGACAUUGGGACUCUCUCCUGCUGCUUCCCCGGCUGACCCUGAGGCUCCCGUCGUGGCCCAGCUGGUGUGGGUGGGUCCUGGGCUGUGGACUGGCUCUGUGUCGCUGGGGGCCAGCAGGAGCCUGAGAGUCCUCGUGCCUCACUGUCCGGGACACUUGGGGGCUCCCAGGCCUUGAGGGGUUCAGUCUCGGGGGCCUUGUCUUUUACUGUGAAUGUUUCCAGAGCUGCAGCUGGGGGUUUGGGGGUUCAAGGUGGAGGUCCCCUCCCAGCUCCUUGGAGGGGGCCUGAGGUUCUCUCUGUGACACUAGGAUUCUCCCUCUAGAGCAAAUCGGUGAUGUGUGCAUGUCACUGGUGCCGAGUCCCUUGGGGAUGUACACCAGUGAGUGUCCACCACGUGCUAGAAACUUCUGGCACCCCCUCUGCCCCAUCCUUAAGCCCCCUCUUGUGUGGGUGAUGCCCAGGGCUGGCAUCUCCUGAUCUCCGGAGGGUUAGGAGUCUGGAGUCUGUUCGACUGGGCCCCUUUCUUUGAAUUCAUACAAACACAUUUUACUAAUUCUUGAGAAAAAGCAAUUCCAAUUAUUUGGAAUGACACAGCAUUUCUGAAGAAAGGGCAAACUUGUUUAUUUCUUCCAGCCUGGAAGUGGGUAUUAUGCUUGUUUUUUCCAAGUCCUAACUGCCCGGAGGGAGUUAACCUCCAACAAGUCAUAAACAGUCUUAUUUUUAAAUGGUGCAAUGGAUUGAAAAGGUUUGCAGAGGUUACUCAGUUUACCUGGUCUCGGGAGCGGAAGCAAACCCGGGACUGUCUCGUCUCCCUCAGCCACCUCAGUUCACAGGUGCCGGGGAGCUCAGUGGAGAAUCGGGGUCCUAAAGUUUGUGUGGGGUCUUUGCAGCAUUUUCUAGAGCUCCCCGCCGUCUCAUGAGGGUCCUUCAGCAGGAACCUGAAGGUGAGCCAGUGCUCAGGGGAAGCCCCAGGGCACAGCCGGCUCAGUAAACGUAUCCGAAAGGAAUGACUCCUAGAUGAAGUAGUGACGUGUCUGAAGGCAUUUUACGUAAGAGAAGACUUUCCUCCGAAGAUGCUGAACCACUGUCUACCAGAUAAGGCGUCGGGACUGAAGGUAAGUCAGAUGGAUUCCUGCUGGAGGCCUGCUUCCCUUCUUCUGUCCUCACACCCACCCCCGCCCAGCCCUGGGGGGAGACGAGGUGGGCGCCUCCCGGGGGUGUCGGGUGAAUCCGAGCCUAGUGUUAGAUUUGGGGUUGCCAGAUUCCCUGCGAGAAUUCAGAGUAGAGGAAAUCAGUAGUUUCCAGGAUUGUGCGUGUAAUCAGGCAUUUCUGAGGGAAGGGACUGCCUUUGAGGCAACCGAAUGCACCAUUUGAAAUGGAUUAAAAACAUUUAUUUUUGGAUGAGAGUUUGGUCAGCGAAAGUUCUCCAGCCAGCCCAUCCCCACUUCUGCUCUGAGCCUCUUUGUCCCAGGUCACCACACGCCACAAGACAGGACAGCUGCUGCUCCCAGGGAGAAGUUUCUGGAGCCCAAAGCUGGAUUUCUACAUGUUCGCUUGGAGGUGGAAUCAGGACCCCCUGGGGGCUCCCCUCUGCUGCCGGAAGUUCUCUCUGACCUUGACCCUCCGCCAGGCUCUGAGCAGGAGGUGUGGAAAGACGGAGAAAUCCAGACCAAAUAUGAUUCUGAUUCCACCAGGAGCAGAUCACUUAAACUGAACUUCAGUUUCCUGGCUUGUGAGAUGGAGGCUGAAACAGCAUUGAAAGAAGUCAGAAACUGAUGGUUCCCGCAGAGCGAAGUGGGACAAGUUCAGCCACACGUAAAGCCUGGAGGGGAGAACACUGCAUUGCCAGCUCCUCUUGAUUUGGGAAACUGAAGAGCACAGAGUAACACAAUCAGGACACAGACAUGGAACAGUGGGCACUGAAGCACCUUAACCUUCCCACAUCUUCUGCUGUUCUUACCGGAAUGUCUCGGUUGAGAAGAAAAACGUCCUUGGCAUCGUGACAAUGCAAACACAUUGGCCCCAGACCCA